rnacentral:rRNA from 1 species
UGGGGAAUAUUGCACAAUGGGGGGAACCCUGAUGCAGCCAUGCCGCGUGUAUGAAGAAGGCCUUAGGGUUGUAAAGUACUUUCGGUGAUGAGGAAGGGGUAUAAUUAAAUAGAUUAUACCAUUGACGUUAAUUACAGAAGAAGCACCGGCUAACUCCGUGCCAGCAGCCGCGGUAAUACGGAGGGUGCGAGCGUUAAUCGGAAUGACUGGGCGUAAAGGGCAUGUAGGCGGAUGAUUAAGUUAGGUGUGAAAGCCCCGGGCUCAACCUGGGAAUUGCACUUAAAACUGGUCGUCUGGAGUAUUGUAGAGGAAGGUAGAAUUCCAUGUGUAGCGGUGAAAUGCGUAGAGAUGUGGAGGAAUACCGGUGGCGAAGGCGGCCUUCUGGACAGAUACUGACGCUGAGAUGCGAAAGCGUGGGGAGCAAACA